rnacentral:rRNA from 1 species
CAAGUCGAGCGGAUGACGGGAGCUUGCUCCUUGAUUCAGCGGCGGACGGGUGAGUAAUGCCUAGGAAUCUGCCUGGUAGUGGGGGACAACGUUUCGAAAGGAACGCUAAUACCGCAUACGUCCUACGGGAGAAAGCAGGGGACCUUCGGGCCUUGCGCUAUCAGAUGAGCCUAGGUCGGAUUAGCUAGUUGGUGGGGUAAUGGCUCACCAAGGCGACGAUCCGUAACUGGUCUGAGAGGAUGAUCAGUCACACUGGAACUGAGACACGGUCCAGACUCCUACGGGAGGCAGCAGUGGGGAAUAUUGGACAAUGGGCGAAAGCCUGAUCCAGCCAUGCCGCGUGUGUGAAGAAGGUCUUCGGAUUGUAAAGCACUUUAAGUUGGGAGGAAGGGCAGUAAGCUAAUACCUUGCUGUUUUGACGUUACCGACAGAAUAAGCACCGGCUAACUCUGUGCCAGCAGCCGCGGUAAUACAGAGGGUGCAAGCGUUAAUCGGAAUUACUGGGCGUAAAGCGCGCGUAGGUGGUUUGUUAAGUUGGAUGUGAAAGCCCCGGGCUCAACCUGGGAACUGCAUCCAAAACUGGCAAGCUAGAGUACGGUAGAGGGUGGUGGAAUUUCCUGUGUAGCGGUGA